rnacentral:rRNA from 1 species
AAACUUACCAGGUCAAGACAUGGGCGUGAUUGACAGGCUAAUGACUUUUCUCGAUUCCAUGGAUGGUGGUGCAUGGUCGCACUUAGUUGGUGCAGUGAUUUGUCAGGUUUAUUCCGGUAACGAACGAGACCUCGGCCUUGUAAAUAGCUAUGCUGCUUACAGGGACAUUGGCGGCUACGCCAAGGAAGCUCGAGGCAAUUGCAGAUCUGGAAUGCCCUUAGAUGUCCUGGGUCGCACGCGUGCUACAAUGACGCCACGAACGAGCUUGCGUGAUGAAAGUUACGCAUAAUCAGCAGUCGGCGUCUUAAGGGAUAGUCUCUUGUAACUGUGGGACUCCAACUAGGAAUGUCUCGUAAGCACAAGUCAACAUCUUGUGUUGAUUACGUCCCUGCUCUUUGUACACACCGCCCGUCGCUCCUACCGAUCGAGUGUUUAGGUGAAUUUGAUGGACGUAAGGAAGUCAAAUAAACCUGAGCACUAGAGAAGAGAAGUCGAUCUUU